GAUGAACGCUGGCGGCGUGCUUAAUACAUGUAAGUCGAACGAGGAGCUUUGCUUCGGUAAAACUCCGAGUGGCGAACGGGUGAGUAACGCGUUGGUGACCUGCCCCGAAGUGGGGGAUAACGGCUCGAAAGGGCUGCUAAUACCCCAUGUGGUCGUAGAGGUUAGAGACUCUACGUCUAAAGGCGUAAUUCGCUUCGGGAUGGGCCUGCGUCCCAUCAGCUAGUUGGUAGGGUAAUGGCCUACCAAGGCGACGACGGGUAGGGGGCCUGAGAGGGUGACCCCCCACAUUGGCACUGAAACACGGGCCAAACACCUACGGGUGGCAG
rnacentral:rRNA from 1 species